UACAGAGGUGGCAAGCGUUGUUCGGAAUUACUGGGCGUAAAGCGCGCGCAGGCGGUUUUCCAAGUCAGUGGUGAAAGCCCGGAGCUCAACUCCGGAACUGCCAUUGAAACUGGCGAACUUGAGUACGAGAGAGGUGAGUGGAAUUCCCAGUGUAGAGGUGAAAUUCGUAGAUAUUGGGAAGAACACCGGUGGCGAAGGCGGCUCACUGGCUCGUAACUGACGCUCAGGCGCGACAGCGUGGGGAUCAAACAGG
rnacentral:rRNA from 1 species